CCCUUAGAUGUUCUGGGCCGCACGCGCGCUACACUGAUGCAUUCAACGAGUCUAAAACCUGCUCUGAUAGGGGUGGGUAAUCUUUUGAAUGUGCAUCGUGAUUGGGAUAGAUGAUUGCAAUUUUUCAUCUUCAACGAGGAAUGCCUAGUAAACGCAAGUCAUCAGCUUGCAUUGAUUACGUCCCUGCCCUUUGUACACACCGCCCGUCGCUCCUACCGAUUGAAUGAUCCGAUGAAUAUCAUGGAUUGAGGAUGCAAGUAGGCUAGCCUAUCUUCAUCUUCGAGAAGUGAAGUAAAUCUUAUCAUUUAGAGGAAGGAGAAGUCGUAACA
rnacentral:rRNA from 1 species